rnacentral:rRNA from 1 species
CCUACGGGUGGCAGCAGUAGGGAAUAUUGCUCAAUGGCCGAAAGCCUGAACCAGCAACGCCGCGUGGAGGAUGACGGCCUUAGGAUUGUAAACCCCCUUUGUUAGAGGAGAUUAUGACGGUAUCUAACGCAUAAGCACCGUCCACAUCCGUGCCAGCAGCCCUGGUGAUAAGGUAGGUGCCAGCGUUACUCGGAAUCACUGGGCGUAAAGAGUGCGUAGGCGGGGUAAUAAGUCAGAUGUGAAAUGCUGUAGCUUAACUAUAGAACUGCAUUUGAAACGGUUACUCUGGAGUGUGGGAGAGGUAGGUGGAAUUCGUGGUGUAGGGGUAAAAUCCGUAGAGAUCAAGAAGAAUACUCAUUGCGAAGGCGACCUACUGGAACAUUACUGACGCUGAUGCACGAAAGCGUGGGGAGCGAACAGGAUUAGAUACCCGAGUAGUC